rnacentral:lncRNA from 1 species
CACUUCACCAAACCACAUGGCACUAUUGUCAUCCUGUUGAUCUGUCUGACAGAUAUCCUAGAGGAAAACACACUUUCUGAAGCUCUGUCCACACACGCAGAAGAACAUCCAUCCGGCCUGAAGGACAGCACCUCAUACUUAACGUGAAGUGAGCGAUGCCUCUUAGCGACCUCGAGUGCCCCGUGUGCUACCAGCACUACUGUCGGCAAGAUCGCGUGCCCCGGCGCCUCAACUGCUGCCAUGCCUUCUGCACGCCAUGCUUGGAGCAUCUGGAGCAGUGGAAGGAUACGAUUUGCACUCUCCGUUGCCCCCUGUGCCGCUGGACCACUUGCUUGCCCCCACUGCAGAGCCCAGAAGAGGCACUCUGGGUGGACACCGACUUGUGGGAAUGCAUCUCUGAUUUCGAGAAGAAAGAAGAGGAGGAAGGAGGAGCAGAAGAAGAAGAGCCGCUGAGUGAAUGCGUUGCCUCCAAGCACUCCAGGCAUCAGCGGAAUAUUCCCAACAUGCUGCACAAGCUCAGCGUCUGCAUUUGGCCUAGAAAUAAGACUCCCAUUGUGUAUCGUGAGCCCUUGUUCAAGAUUUUCAAGAACCUGCAACCUUUCAUGCGCAAGUCAUCUUCCACAGCCUGUUCUUCGUCUGCAGCCUGCCAACAAGAUUAGCUAGCGGCGUGAUGCUAAAGGCAACCCAUGAGUGAAGAGAAGAAGGAAAGAAGGACUGCUUGAAAAACUACAUGUAUUUUAUUGUGCAUUGAGAUGCUGCACAACUACUAGGCAACACGUGCAACGAACAUUGCAUUUGCUUCACAACUUUUCCCCUUCUGUAGCCACAGAGGGCUGAAUAUGAAAGCGCAAAAAAUCAUGAGGAGUUAAUGUUUUUAUAAUUUAACGUAUAUGUUUUCUGAAGGCCAUUUAAGAAGGCUGUGGUGUAAAUAAUUUCAUUGUGUAACGCUGAGGGUGUUUGUGUAUGUGUGUGUGUCUGUGUGUUUCAAUGGAUUCCCAUGCCAAAAUGUGAAUAUUGUGACAACUUCCUGUUGUUUCUGCUCAGAUAGCUGCUGCGCACACAAAAAAGUCUCAGAUCAUUGUGUUUGUAUUUUUUGUAACUUGGACUGUGAUUUUUUUAAUGUAACUUCUAAUUUUAUAGAAAUUUAUUUUAAAUAAAAGACUACCGUUUACUUGCCGUUUCCUUAUG